GUUUUUUUAGUAUAAAUUAAUAGUACAUUUGACUUCCAAUCAUAAAGCUUAGAAAAUCUAGAAAAAACA
rnacentral:tRNA from 1 species